rnacentral:sRNA from 1 species
GAAGGCAUGCUUCGUAAAUGAUUUUCUGUAGUAAACCACUGCGCUAAAUAAAGAGCAUGAUAAGAAAAGGCGACCGACAGGUCGCCUUUUUUGUGUCU